rnacentral:rRNA from 1 species
ACGGAAGGCAGCAGUGGGGAAUAUUGCACAAUGGGCGAAAGCCUGAUGCAGCGACGCCGCGUGAGUGAAGAAGUAUCUCGGUAUGUAAAGCUCUAUCAGCAGGGAAGAAAAUGACGGUACCUGACUAAGAAGCCCCGGCUAACUACGUGCCAGCAGCCGCGGUAAUACGUAGGGGGCAAGCGUUAUCCGGAUUUACUGGGUGUAAAGGGAGCGUAGACGGUUUGGCAAGUCUGAAGUGAAAUGCGGGGGCUCAACUCCUGAACUGCUUUGGAAACUGUCGAACUAGAGUGCAGGAGAGGUAAGUGGAAUUCCUAGUGUAGCGGUGAAAUGCGUAGAUAUUAGGAGGAACACCAGUGGCGAAGGCGGCCUGCUGGACGACAACUGACGCUGAGGCGCGAAAGCGUGGGGAGCAAACAGGAUUAGAUACCCUGGUA